rnacentral:misc_RNA from 1 species
GUGCUGUUACAACCAAUCCUCUUUUCUCUAGGCUUUUAUAUUGAUCACUUAGAAGGGUGCAGAAACCGUUUAUAUGAUUGAAAUACAAAGGACAUGAGCAACAAUCUUCAGUUUCUAACUUUUAAUAAACAGAAUCUGAAGAAACUUAAUGGAUAACUUUUGAAAAGAAAAAAAGAUUCCUGCUGCACCUUCAGCUUGCAGAGAGAACCAGUAAUUUCUUCAGAUAAUAGUAGUUGCGGAGGAGCAGGCUCAAAUAAUGGUAAGAACACUUUCUUCACU